rnacentral:rRNA from 1 species
GAGUUUGAUCAUGGCUCAGAUUGAACGCUGGCGGCAGGCUUAACACAUGCAAGUCGAGCGGAAACGAUGGGAGCUUGCUCCCAGGCGUCGAGCGGCGGACGGGUGAGUAACGCGUAGGAAUCUACCCAGUAGUGGGGGAUAGCCCGGGGAAACUCGGAUUAAUACCGCAUACGCCCUACGGGGGAAAGGCCGGGAUCUUCGGACCGGUCGCUAUUGGAUGAGCCUGCGUUGGAUUAGCUAGUUGGUAGGGUAAAGGCCUACCAAGGCGACGAUCCAUAGCUGGUCUGAGAGGAUGAUCAGCCACACUGGAACUGAGACACGGUCCAGACUCCUACGGGAGGCAGCAGUGGGGAAUAUUGGACAAUGGGCGCAAGCCUGAUCCAGCCAUGCCGCGUGUGUGAAGAAGGCUCUAGGGUUGUAAAGCACUUUCAGUAGGGAGGAAGGCCAGAGUGUUAAUAGCGCUUUGGAUUGACGUUACCUACAGAAGCAGCACCGGCUAACUCCGUGCCAGCAGCCGCGGUAAUACGAAGGGACCUAGCGUAGUUCGGAAUUACUGGGCUUAAAGAGUUCGUAGGUGGUUGAAAAAGUUAGUGGUGAAAUCCCAGAGCUUAACUCUGGAACUGCCAUUAAAACUUUUCAGCUAGAGUAUGAUAGAGGAAAGCAGAAUUUCUAGUGUAGAGGUGAAAUUCGUAGAUAUUAGAAAGAAUACCAAUUGCGAAGGCAGCUUUCUGGAUCAUUACUGACACUGAGGAACGAAAGCAUGGGUAGCGAAGAGGAUUAGAUACCCUCGUAGUCCAUGCCGUAAACGAUGUGUGUUAGACGUUGGAAAUUUAUUUUCAGUGUCGCAGGGAAACCGAUAAACACACCGCCUGGGGAGUACGACCGCAAGGUUAAAACUCAAAUGAAUUGACAGGGACCCGCACAAGUAGUGGAGCAUGUGGUUUAAUUCGAAGAUACGCGCAGAACCUUACCAACACUUGACAUGUUCGUCGCGACUCUAAGAGAUUAGAGUUUUCGGUUCGGCCGGACGAAACACAGGUGCUGCAUGGCUGUCGUCAGCUCGUGUCGUGAGAUGUUGGGUUAAGUCCCGCAACGAGCGCAACCCUCACUUUUAGUUGCCAUCAUUAAGUUGGGCACUCUGAAAGAACUGCCAGUGAUAAGCUGGAGGAAGGUGGGGAUGACGUCAAGUCCUCAUGGCCCUUACGUGUUGGGCUACACACGUGCUACAAUGGCAUCUACAACAGGAAGCAAAACGGCAACGUUAAGCAAAUCCCGAAAAGAUGCCUCAGUUCGGAUUGCACUCUGCAACUCGAGUGCAUGAAGCUGGAAUUACUAGUAAUCGUGGAUCAGCGUGCCACGGUGAAUGCGUUCCCGGGUCUUGUACACACCGCCCGUCACACCAUGGGAGUUGGUUCUACCUUAAGGCAAGGUUUCAAACCCUUGACCACGGUAUAGUCAGCGACUGGGGUGAAGUCGUAACAAGGUAACC